UGGUCAAGUUAUUAAGGGUGCAGGGCGGAUGCCUUGGCACUAGGAGCCGAUGAAGGACGUGAUAAGCUGCGAUAAGCUUCGGGGAGUUGCACGUAAACUUUGAUCCGAAGAUUUCCGAAUGAGGAAACUCACUUAGAGUAAUGUCUAAGUAUCAUUAAGUGAAUACAUAGCUUAAUGAGGGGAACUCAGGGAACUGAAACAUCUAAGUACCUGAAGGAAGAGAAAGAAAUUCGAUUCCGUAAGUAGCGGCGAGCGAACGCGGAUUAGCCCAAACCAAUAAAGUUUUCUUUAUUGGGGUUGCGGACAUAUCAUAACGAAGAGGUAUCGUAAUUGAAGAGGUUUGGAAAGACCCACCACAG
rnacentral:rRNA from 1 species